UGUUAGCAGUUAAACCAAGAUGACACAGAUAUAUAAAUACUUCCUCCUUCCUACAUCUUGCAGUGUUUCUGUAUGUGCCGUGUUUCACAAGUGUUCAUGGUUAAAAAAUCUACGCAAGUAAGGAUAUGAACAUGAAUAACAAAAUCUAUGCAAAUGUAACAGCCAGCAACCUGAGGACAACCACUGGAGCUCUGCAGUCUGGCGCAGAACAGGGAGAUGGAUUCCGCCGUUACAGGCUGGCUGCUGUGUGUCUGGGGCUGCUGGGUUUGGUCCUGUUAGGCGUCGCCGCAUUUCUCUGUAUCAAGUACAGGACAGAGAGGGACCAGGUACUCGACAGGUACACAGGCCUGCAUGAAGAUUUACUCGCCAACUACUCAAGCUGUGAAAAGCAGAAAGUCCAGCUAGAGACCAACUACUCAAGCCUGGUUAAAGAGAGAGACCAGUUAUCCAGUCUAAGAAGCAUGUUAGAAGCUAAAGUCACCCAACUUGAGAAACAAUUUCAGGAGCUCAACUGUCGAAUUUUCCAAUCUGCUACUGAAGACAUGUGGAAUAUGAGCAGAAAAUAUUGUAGAGAGAAGGGAGGAGACCUGGUGAUGAUAAAAAGUAAGGAGAAGCAGGUGAGUGUGUGAAAGGGAAAGAGAAUACGAGAGAAACAUGGUUCUGUUUGAAAUAAUCCUGACUAUUAGCAUUUCUGGUCCAGACCGUCCUUAAUGAAAUGAGGCUCAAUGGAUGGAUCGGCCUUAGUGAUGAAUCGGAAGAGGGGAACUGGACAUGGGUGGACACCACCACAGCUAACCAAACGUAAGACAUACAGUUUCACCACGAAUUCUCCCUCAAACUACGGAAUCAUCUGUGCUUUUUGAGUCAUACAGGGCGGAAUUUGUCCUGCAUUUCAUCUUGUCCACAUUUUGUAUGUGUCAUGGGGU
rnacentral:lncRNA from 1 species